CACCUCAUAAGUAAGGCUGUGAAUCAUUCGCGGAGGUCACGGAAGUCACUCCCCCGCCCCCAGCGGGGCCCCGGGCCGCUUCCCCCACCCCAGCAGGGUCCCGGGCCACUUCCCCCCCCAGCAGAAGUCUUCAGGAGCACCCCCCUCCCAGCAGGUAAAAGGGAAAGGCUAACCAAACACUGAGAGAACGGAACCUCCUUUCUUCUGAGGAUGCGUGUGGUUUGAUGAAGAACACAGCGUAAGGAGGAUCUGCCAUCAGCACUCCAAGCUCAACAACCUUUCUGAGGCAAUGGCUACGAGGAAUGUGGAUAGGAGAGACGUGGGACAAGAAGCUAAGGAUUCAAAAGGAGGCUCAGUGAGUACAGAGAUAACAAGACUCAAGUCCCAUUGAGGAGCAAGCUUUUUCAGAGGUGGAAAGAUUCUGGAAAGGCCUUAUCAGAACCUGUCAAUCAGUGGGUGUGUGAAGACUGAGUAGCCCUGUGAA